AAUUAUGAUUGUACUAUUUUACCCUUAUAGCCCCUAUUUAAAAUUUAUCAUAAAUUAUAAGUUAAAAGAAUAUUUACGUACUUAAAAUUUAUUUAACCCCAACUCAAAUAUUUCUUAAUUUAUUUAUAUAGCCCCAACUCAAACUUUAAGAACGUCAUCAUAUAAACGAUGAAGCAAGAAUUCAUGAAAAACAGGAAAGCAUUAUUUCUUGAACAUCAUCAGAUAAACGACGAAGCAAGAAUUCAUGAAAAAAGGAAAAAACUUUUCUUGAACAUCAUCAGUAAUCUUUCCUACAACAAUUUCACUUUGCAAGGCCCUGAGGAACCAGCUUGUCGACUAGACAUGAAUCGAAAUAUAAACUUGUUUCCCAGCUUGAGGCUUCACAAUUAGAACUGAAGGAGGCUGUUAAUGUCAAGAUCGAGAUUGAAGAACUGAAAAUUCAGGAAACAAAGACGAUAGCCUUGCAGGAAGAUCUAGAAAAAUUGAGCAAUGAAAAGCAAGCACCGGAAGAUGUUGUCUCUAGUCUAACUAAUAAUUCUGUUCAGAUGAAGGAGUUAUGCAACGACCUCGAGGCCAAGUUGCAGCAGUCCGAUGAGUUUCUUGCUUCAUCGUUUAUGUGAUUAUGUUCUUAAAUUUUGAGUUGGGGCUAUAUAAAUAAAUUAAGAAACAUUUGAGUUGGGGCUAUAUAAAUUUUGAAAUUACACGUAAAUAUUCUUUCAACUUAAUCCUUACAACUUAUAAUUUAUUACAAAUUUUAAAUGGAGGUUAUAGGGGUAAAAUGGUACAAUCAUAAGUAUUUUUUAUUAUCUUUUAAAUAAGGGGUUAUAGU